UGCGCAGGCGGCUCAUCAAGUCAGAGGUGAAAGCCCGGAGCUCAACUCCGGAAUUGCCUUUGAAACUGGUGGGCUUGAGUGCGGGAGAGGUGGGUGGAAUUCCCAGUGUAGAGGUGAAAUUCGUAGAUAUUGGGAAGAACACCAGUGGCGAAGGCGGCUCACUGACCCGUUUCUGACGCUCAUGCACGAUAGCGUGGGAUCAAACA
rnacentral:rRNA from 1 species